AUGCUUAACACAUGCAAGUCGACUGGAAUUCUUCUUCGGAAGAUAGUACGGUGGCGGACGGGUGAGUAACGCGUAAAGAAUUUGCCCUUCAGACUGGGACAACUAAUCGAAAGGUUAGCUAAUACCGGAUAUUAUGAGACCUUGGCAUCAAGGACUUAUGAAAGCUAUAUGCGCUGGAGGAGAACUUUGCGUUCCAUUAGCUAGUUGGUAGGGUAAUGGCCUACCAAGGCGACGAUGGAUAGCCGGCCUGAGAGGGUGAACGGCCACAAGGGGACUGAGACACGGCCCUUACUCCUACGGGAGGCAGCAGUGGGGAAUAUUGGACAAUGGACCAAAAGUCUGAUCCAGCAAUUCUGUGUGCACGAUGAAGGUCUUCGGAUUGUAAAGUGCUUUCAGGUGGGAAGAAGAAAGUGACGGUACCACCAGAAGAAGCGACGGCUAAAUACGUGCCAGCAGCCGCGGUAAUACGUAUGUCGCAAGCGUUAUCCGGAAUUAUUGGGCGUAAAGCGAGUCUAGGCGGCUUGUUAAGUCAG
rnacentral:rRNA from 1 species